rnacentral:rRNA from 1 species
AUUGAACGCUGGCGGCAGGCCUAACACAUGCAAGUCGAGCGAGCGGCGGACGGGUGAGUAAUGUCUGGGAAACUGCCUGAUGGAGGGGGAUAACUACUGGAAACGGUAGCUAAUACCGCAUACCAUCAGAUGUGCCCAGAUGGGAUUAGCUAGUAGGUGGGGUAACGGCUCACCUAGGCGACGAUCCCUAGCUGGUCUGUGAGGAUGCCCAGCCACACUGCAACUGGGACACGGCCCAGACGCCUGCGGUGGGCAGCAGUGGGGAAUAUUGCACAAUGGGCGCAAGCCUUAUCCAGCCAUGCCGCGUGUAUGAAGAAGGCCUUCGGAUUGUAAGGUACGUUCAGCGGGGAGGCGUUACCCGCAGAAGAAGCACCGGCUAACUCCGUGCGAGCAGCCGCGGUAAUUC